UCCUCUUAAUACAAGAUUCUACUGAAUUUGAAUUACAAGACUUUCGUCCUGAAUAAUAAAACUAAUAUCAAUUUUUAGACGAACCUACCAAAAAUAAUUGAAAAUAAAUAGUAAGAAAUGUUUAAAAAAAAUGUUUUUUUACACAUGUAAUAUAUUUUAAAUUUUUCAAAAAUUUAGGUAUUAUUUGAUAUACAUAUUGAUAAAGCACAGAAUAUGCUAUCAGGGCUCGCAGUGGUGCGAGGUGAUGCCAGAGGCUCUGGAGUCCACAACGCGCGCUCUACGUCAAGUCUUCCGAGAGAAAUCGGCGAUUAGAUGUGUAUAAUCGGCGAUUUGCUUCGUGUUUCCUGCUCUAGAAUGGAUGAAACUGAUGUCUUGGAUUGUGCCCGGAUGACCCCUUUUAUAGAGUCAUCCAGGCAUUAAUGGUGUGCCGUUAAGGACACGAGUUGACGCCGAGUAACGGUCGGAAAAUCGAUGAUUGGGGGAUGAAUCGGCGAUUUGGUGGCAGGGUCGGCGAGUUCGAAUGGACGAGAUCGACAGUCUAUCAGGUACUGACGAUCGAUCUCGUCUCAACUCGACGAUUUACCAUCCAAAUCGACGAUUUGACAACCCAAAUCGACGAUUUGACAGCCCAAAUCGACGAUUCUUUAGUUACGAUUUGAGGAUGACCAUUGUUCCGUACUCUUGGGAGCCUUCUGGGGUUCCGACGUAUAACGAACGGAACCCGAGUCUCAAUUAAGAAGCGUUGAUAGGAGCAGCACA
rnacentral:lncRNA from 1 species